UAAGGUGUCCUUUUGUCACAUCGUUUUCUCUAGAACUCUCUCUCAAAAGAAGUAGUACACAUAAGUCAUACUAAUAUACAUUGAUUUGAGACGCACCUUUUUUGGAAGAGAAGAGAAAAGAAAGUUGGUCACGAGGAGAAAGUGAGUUGUGUUGACAAGGAAUUAAAUUAAAAAUGGAGAAAAAUGAAGUGAUGAAGAUGAAAAGUAGUGAGAGUCAGGUGAUGGACGGUUCAGAUAUAAUGAAGUUAGUUGGAAAUGAGGCUGUGUUUAGUAACUUUGUAGAUCAUAAGUUUCAAGAACUUGACAUAGACAAAGACGGUAAGCUUUCAGUUAAGGAGUUACAACCUGCUGUUGCUGAUAUUGGUGUUGCCCUUGGUUUACCUCCUCAAGGUUCUUCCCCUGAAUCUGAUCAUAUCUACUCUGAGGUUCUUCAAGAAUUCACACAUGGAAAGCAAGAGAAAGUAAGCAAGACGGAGUUUAAAGAAGUUCUUUCAGAUAUUUUACUAGGCAUGGCUGCUGGUCUAAAGUGAGAUCCUAUUGUACUCCUUCGUAUGGAUGGUUAAAAGUCCUGCAUUUGAACCAGAGAUGCUUUCCCUGUACUCUGAGUUAGAAUUGCCUGAUGGAUCCCUCAAAGAUUACAUCAUCAAGGCUUUUGAGAAGCUUACGGUUGAUCAAGGGAUGCCUCCUGCAUCAGACUCAUGUGUAAUGAGUAAUGUUGUGGAGCCAGUAGUUGAAUCCUGCAUUGGAGCAACUAACGAGCAACCUGUUACACGAGACAUUUUUGGCUGAAUUUAAGAAAGUUGCAGAGAGUGCUGCUCAACGUCUCAAGGAGCAGCCAGUCAUUGUUGCUCACAGCGAGAACACAUUUGAUGGAAGUGGAAUUAAAAGACUAUUGUCUAACAAGUUUGAAUUGGAUAAGACGCUGGAUUCUGCCUUAAAGACUAUACCCAGAGAUUGCCAUGGGAAAAUGUCAAAGGAAUACCUACGAGUUGCACUUGAUGUUCUUGCACCAUCAGCUGGGUAUCCCCCGUGUUUGCAGAUGGAUAAGGUCAUACAAGAAGUCUCUGUAAGAUGUUGGAUGCCGAUGAUGGGAAGAUGGUUAAAGAGGAAGAGUUCAAGAAGUUGUUGACUGAAAUACUGGGCAGCAUGAUGCUGCAAUUAGAAGGGAAUCCAGUUUCGGUGUCCACAAACUCUGUUGUGCACGAGCCUCUUGCUUCUUCCUCUAUGCUCUUGCAGCCUCCAUCUAUUUCUGAGAUGUAACUGAUCCUAUGAAACUAGAGAAAAAAAGAAUAACAGGGGAUGUAUGAUGUAAAUUUCUGUUAAAAUUAAAGGCUGAGAGAUACUGCCUUAAUAAUACAGCAUCCAUUUCAGCAAUUAAUAGUGUCAUAUUACUUGAAUUAAAUCAGUGUCUGUUUAAAUAA